CUCAGUAUUAAAUAAGAGAUGUCUGGAAACCAGAAGUGCUCCAAGUUCCUAAAAGGAAUCCCAUCAGCCUUGGGUGGCAUCUCACAGAGCUGCAAUCUCCAUGUAAACAUUACCUGUGAUUUGUACCUCUCACAGCCCCACUCUGGAGUGCACUGACCUGCUUCACAUUGGCUUCCUGACUGACCCUUGAUUUGAGAUUGGAUUGCCUUCUUUACCAGGCAACUGCUUGCUUUGUCCUGCUGAAAAGGGGCAUUUUUCACAUGGCCUGCCCUGCCAGGAUGCCUGCACCAUCACAUCAUUCAGCCACUUGUGGCAGCCCUGGCAGACCCAAGCUGGAAACCAGCUGUCCUUUGUCCAAGCAGCUCUUUUCCACACCACUUGCUCAUAAUGCACUCAAGAAUUUCUGCAGAAGGGCUCUUACUUCAGAAAAUGCUAAUGACUGGAAAGCACCUCUUGCAACACCUCACGGAGAUUUCAGCCCGCCUUCUGUGCUUUCAGUUUUACCAUUUAUGACAGCAUGAACAAGGUGCAGUUUUGGAGGGGAGUACAGUAUUUCAGAGCCAAAAUAACUUUAUUUCUCUGAACAGUAUGGCAAUAAACAUUUUCUCCUGAGGCUAUGGCAGGUGCAUCGUUUGCCUGGGAAAAUUACUGGAAAACUUAACAGCCAAGGAGCUCUUAGCUCAGCAAUGCAGCACUGCGGGUUCCAUCUGCAGCACCCCAGCAAUGAGCAGCUCCUCUCUGUACCCCAGGCUCCAAGAUCUGGAUUUUCCAUCCAGUUUACAAGGCUGAGCCCCUCUCAGCAGACUCCACUGGGCUUCUGACAGAGAUGUUCUUUGCAAGAGCCGUCAGGAGGGAAGGGAUCAAGCAGGUUCUUUAGCCCAGUCAUUUGGAAAUAAUCAAAGUCCCUCCUUGCAGCAGACAUCCCCCUCUAUGACAACAACAAUUCUAUUAGUUCCACAAGGCAACCCCUGUGUUCUGCAUACCAGGUGAGAGGAGCUGUUGGGGGUUUCUGACAAGGUCACAGGAAGCAGUCCCUGAGGUGCAUGUGCCUGGUGUCACACUCAUAUUUUCUGGAAAAGUCCCUUUACCCAGGAUUCUUCUCCUGGGAAGCUGAGAAGCCUCAGAGAAAAAGGAAAACAAUAAUUAUCUGAUUUGCUUCUCCUGUGUUUUGCUGCUUUGGAAUGUGUUUGGAGAUUGUUUACCAACAGGUGAUUGUUUCAUGUGAAUUGUUUUGACUUAUUGGCCAAUUAUGGCCAAGCUGUGUUGGGACUCUGCAAAGAGUCACGAGUUUUCAUCAUUAUCUUUUUAUCCUUCUCCCAACAUUGAACAAACGGCCACAGCAUCGGUAGAGGAGCUGUAAAGAUGAAACGAGACUGAUGAACUCUGUCUACCCUCACCCACCUGCCCACAGCGAGGGAACACGAGAAAACAGCCAACCUUCUCUCUGGUUGCCAAGAUAAUAUCUAAAUGCAUCACAAAUAACAAAAGCAAUGAAGUCGGACAAGGACAGAGAGCCGAGAUGGGCAGCCCGGGAUGCGCUGGCGCUCCCGGAGCGCUCCGAGCCCCGCUCCGCCGUUCCCGGGACAAACGCGCGCCGUUCCCGGGACAAACCCGCGCCGUUCCCGGGACAA